AUUGAACGCUGGCGGCAUGCCUUACACACGCAAGUCGAACGGCAGCACGGGGGCAACCCUGGUGGCGAGUGGCGAACGGGUGAGUAAUGCAUCGGAACGUGCCCAGUAGUGGGGGAUAACCAGUCGAAAGACUGGCUAAUACCGCAUACGACCUACGGGUGAAAGCGGGGGACCGUAAGGCCUCGCGCUAUUGGAGCGGCCGAUGUCUGAUUAGCUAGUUGGCGGGGUAAGAGCCCACCAAGGCGACGAUCAGUAGCUGGUCUGAGAGGACGACCAGCCACACUGGGACUGAGACACGGCCCAGACUCCUACGGGAGGCAGCAGUGGGGAAUUUUGGACAAUGGGCGCAAGCCUGAUCCAGCCAUGCCGCGUGCGGGAAGAAGGCCUUCGGGUUGUAAACCGCUUUUGGCAGGAACGAAACGGCGCAAGCCAAUACCUUGCGCUAAUGACGGUACCUGCAGAAUAAGCACCGGCUAACUACGUGCCAGCAGCCGCCGUAACAC
rnacentral:rRNA from 1 species